rnacentral:tRNA from 2 species
CCCUGCUUAGAUCAGUUGGUAGAGCGCUCCACCUGUAAUGGAGAGGUCCCGGGUUCGAUACCCGAACCAGGCG